rnacentral:lncRNA from 1 species
CUGCCUCCCCGGCUGCCUCCUCCCUCCCUUCCCCCCCCGCCGGGGCCGGGCCUUUAAUCCGCUCUGCCUUUGUGUCUGCCCGGCGCUGCUGCUGCUGCUGCUGCUGCUGCUGCUCUUCUUGCCCGGCCGCGAUGGAGCCUCUUUGGGGGUCCCCGCUGGCGAUGUGACGUCCAGCGUCCCCCAAAGCGAAGUCGCCGCUUCAGGGGCAGGGGCAGAAAAAUAUCAUGAUGAGAAUUGUAGAAGAACAGAUGGUUCCUCAAAUGCAGUAUCGCACCUGUUCAGGCAGCACUUUUUGCUUCCAUGAUGCUCAGCUGAAACAGUAUGGCCAGGCCUUUCACACGCCCAGGNCUCCGCAAUCACUUUGGUUUUACAUUUGUGAUGCACUAGUGCCGGAAGCGACGACGCAGGUCAGUGUUUCUGCAAGAGGCCAUGUGACAGUCAACAAAGCUACCUUCUUGUUAUGUAUUUAUAAAGGGCCGGUUCAGCCCCCAAAGCAGUAUCAGCUGACUGACAACAGUGUUUGAGUUCUGCUCCUUCUGGCUUCGGACGAAAAAUAACAAAAUUGCUGGAGGUUGGGNGCUAGGAUCCUGCUCUGUUGUGAAAGCAUGGAAAUGUCUGGCCCUGGCCUGCUUGUCCUGUGACUCGCUCUUCUAGUCACCCGGGGGUAUCAACAAGGACGCUUGCCAUGGUGCCAAAACAGGAGGAAGGAAUCUGUCCCUCACUUGGGUGGACUGCAAAUAGCAAGAGCCAGUCACUGGAUCUUCAAAAAGAUCCUGCAGUNNCNCCUUGCUGUCCCCUCCAGACGUGGGCAACAGUUGCGGCCUUUUACCUCUGCCUGCUCCUUUCGUUAUAAUUGCUCUUGUAAACAUCCGGAAGCCAACCAAGUACCCANCCACUUCCCGUUGGAGUGCUUUUUGUGCACUUGCCUGCCUUCCAGGCAUUUGCAAGAGCAGCGAUAAGGAAAGGAGCCUGCAGACUGAGGUAAGUGAUCACUAUUACGGGAAACUCGGCAUUGUUGCCAGAUUUCCNGUAAUAGUGAUAUUAUUCCCAAUAUAGUCCUNAAAGAAUCACGGGUUUUAGCCUUNGACUGGAGGCACCCAUGGAAGAGUGCCACCUUACAGCUCCAACCCAACACGAAGUCACGGGGUUUGGGAGGCAGUGAAAUGUCCUUGGUUUAGCCCAGCUGAUUUCCUUUGUCACAGGAAAAAGUUCAAGGCUUGACUUCUCNGCAGCUUUUGACACUGUGGACCGCAGGGUUCUUCCUGCUGGAGCUGUUUCAGGAAUUGGGGAUUGAAAGCACUGUCUAUGGCUGUAUCCACAUGUGGCCNAGAAUCUGGGCCUUUUCACACUUGACACUAGUGGGCGUCACGGAUGCUCACUAGUGCAGUGCUUCUGCAUUUCGUGGAGGCCCUGGCGAUUGGGAACAGACUAUAGCUGUCCCCAGUUGAUACCUGCUACGGAGCAUGGCAUUCCCAGUUGACAUGGCAGCGACUGGAAGAUUCCUGGCUGCUGUCAUGGNGCAGGACACUGGCAGGAUGCCAGCAUUAGCACUGCAAAUGCCAGUAUCCUGCUGCUGGUCUGUUCCAAGAUUUCACAGGGCAGACGGUCGCCACNUUGUGAGGUCUGUUCCAUCUUGGAAUGUUCGAUUCCAAACAUUCCAAGAAGGUAAGUGGGAAAAGGCCUUUNAUCUCUGCAGACAGCCUUCCAUUCACAGAUAUAUUCUGGGAUAGGAGGGCCAACGUGAAGUGCAAUUAGUUCAAUGGAGACUCUCCCACCUCCNUGCUGGUUCCUAUAGAGAUCGGUUCUACCCAACCCUCAUUGCGGCUUGGUUUGGAUGGAGCCUUAGGAAUGGUUCUGCUCUCCACUUUGAGGCUACUUCCAGAGAUCAGCAAUAAGGUGCUUUUGCUUGGUACCAUAGGACUAGGGUUGUGCCAAACUGCUGNUUGAUCUUGUGUUAUCCCAUGGCUACUUUCCCAUAACUGUACAUAAGUAGCAGAAGUGCAGGCAUCUGGACUGGACACUGCCAGAGACUAUUUUUAGCAUUGAAGGUUGCACUCAGAUCAGAGCCCCGUUCAGCGACCAGAAAGCAUGGAAUUGCAGCCCAUACCAUCAUCCUGAUGCACCCCUCUCAGGUCUAUCGACUCAAAUCUUCAACUAUGCCUCAUUUCCCGCUGAAGGCCUCUUUUGUUAAAAGUUGUUUGGACCAUGACUAAAUCCUGUCAACUUGCAGCUGGAAGAUAACAGGNUUUCACAUCUUGAGUGAGAGGAACUGCAAGAAUAAUGUGGGUGCUGAAAUGCAAUAACUGAUUGAAUUAAUGCAAUUUGUUUGCAUGUUCUGGAAAGUCUUGAGAUGGAUUGAUCUUUUGUUCACCCCUUUUCCCACCUGAACCCUCAGGGUAUGCUUCUGGGUGUAAGAAUAGGUGUCCUCCUCCACUCAGUGCCUUUGAUUAUCUCAAAGUNCACUAUGUCCUUCCUUCAACAAGAGCUGAACCUUGAAGCUGAACUUUGUGUAAUGUGUGUAUUAGGCUUCCAGACAACUGUAAGGAAACGCAUUUCUGGGAUCACUCCGAAGGCAAGGCUUGAACUCACUCCUCUUUGCCUAGGCUUGUUUUGUGCUGAGAAAUCAAGGUGACUUGAUUUCUUCUUAUACUGUUGCCACAGAGGCAAGGACAACCAUGGAUCAGGCAUAUAAUUGGGCUUAAUUGAUGUUUUCUAAGACAAGGAAGGCCAAUUCAUACACUUGCUCCCUGCAUCCUACACCUGAUUUUNAUUGGUACUGGGUGGUGAGAAAUUAGCCAGAAUGCUAGCACUUCUGCCUUUCCUUAAGCCUGUUGCUAUGAGUUGUCGCAAUUCAUCCCCUAGCUUGUGUGUGAGUGUCUGGACAACUGUGCUUUGUUACUUUUUUCUACCUCUGUGAAGAGUGUCUCUGACCAAGAGAAGACCUCAAGAAAGGUACAAUUCUCUUCAUCCUUUGUUCUCCCCCUGGUUUGCCUUAACUAUUUUCCCCCUCACUUUGCUUUCCUUUCCAUUUUCAUUCGGUGACUUUUCCUUCACUCCUCAUUAACUUUACUCUCCCUUUCUCUCUUCUUCGUUCUUAGUCUUUGUUAGGAAAAAUAGAGAGUUGUGGCUUGGCAGCAGUUGCCCCAAUUAAUAUUGGGGAGCACAGCUGAGGCAUUGUGGAAGCAGCAAUUGAGGUUCGAACUGGGUGAAUCACAAGGAAAGAGUUCAUUGAAUUGGGGGACUCUGACCCAUAGCACCACCUCUCCUUCNGUUGCAAAAGCAUGCUUAACUAAGCCUUAUCUUCCCACAUAAUUCUACUAAUUCUUGCCUGGUAACAGAUUCUGAUUGGCCAACAAAAUAUCCACCCNGAUGUGCCUUGCUGAUCUCUCUAUUCCAUUCCUUGCUUUACUGAUCGCUNGCUCUGCCACUUGGCUGUAAGCCUUAGAGGCAGAGGAAACUUUUACUUAGACUUUAUGUCUCUUUGCUGCAGUUACAGUAAAAUUGUCUCUCGUGCCACAAGUUACUGCUUAGUUAUUUUGGGAAUCUUGCUCUUGUAGUGGCUUUACUAUGUCACUAAUUUGCCCAAUUUGAAACUAUUCGCCAUUUAACUAAUUUGCCCAACUUUGAAACUCUUGAUUUUGAAACUUUGAAUACUAUUGUCACUUGCUGUGUAAUAAAGUUACUUUUUGUGUGCUUUUUAAAAUUUUA